rnacentral:rRNA from 1 species
UGUGAACGCUGGCGGUAGGCCUAACACAUGCAAGUCGAACGGCAGCACAGUAAGAGCUUGCUCUUACGGGUGGCGAGUGGCGGACGGGUGAGGAAUACAUCGGAAUCUACUUUUUCGUGGGGGAUAACGUAGGGAAACUUACGCUAAUACCGCAUACGACCUACGGGUGAAAGCAGGGGAUCUUCGGACCUUGCGCGAUUGAAUGAGCCGAUGUCGGAUUAGCUAGUUGGCGGGGUAAGGGCCCACCAAGGCGACGAUCCGUAGCUGGUCUGAGAGGAUGAUCAGCCACACUGGAACUGAGACACGGUCCAGACUCCUACGGGAGGCAGCAGUGGGGAAUAUUGGACAAUGGGCGCAAGCCUGAUCCAGCCAUACCGCGUGGGUGAAGAAGGCCUUCGGGUUGUAAAGCCCUUUUGUUGGGAAAGAAAAGCAGCAGGUUAAUACCCCGCUGUUCUGACGGUACCCAAAGAAUAAGCACCGGCUAACUUCGUG